UGACAGUGCCAAGCCAGUGACCAUGUGGCCACCAUGAUCCACACGCCACCGUCAUCAUGAGCAAUUGAGGUUUCUUCCUCCUCAAUGACAUUCACCCCACCUUUUGCUUGCACUCUCUUCCCCAGCAGACAAGGCAAUUAGGCAAAGGCAAGCACUUUCCACCUCACCUGCUUUUCUCCCUCUACCCCUUUCUCUCUCUCUUCUUGAGCUGAUCUUGAUCCAUUGCUGGAUGCUCAUGCACAGGAAGCUUGCUCAAGGUUGGAGUGAGGGCAGAUGGGGGAAGUUGCAGUGCAUUGCCAAUUGCCAAAGCUGCACCAAGAUUGGUUGAUUGAUUCUUGCCAUUAGGAAAGGCAGAUUAGAGAGAGAGAAAGAAGAGGAAGAAAGGGUGGGAGACAGGUGGACAAAAAGGGUAAAGAGUGAGGAGGAGUAAAGGUGGUGGAUAGAGAGAGAGAGAGAAGAGAGUGAGGGAAUCCAGCCCAGUCUUGAUCGAUCGAUCGAUCCGUGUGCGUUGCGUCGUCCCAGAUUGGGAGCAGGAGUGUGCACGAAGCAAAGCGGCAGGGAGGGGGAGGCCGCCGCGCCACCGACACCGAGAUUUUUCCUACACCGCCGG
rnacentral:lncRNA from 1 species